UGCUUUUCUCCAGCGCCGAGAGUUUUCCUAGGGAAAAGCCCGAGCUUUUUCUCCGUCCCGGUGUGCCGCCGCGGGGAUGGGAGUCGGCGCUCGGCCUCAGCAGCGCUGGGGCCGUGGCUGCCCCUGCCCUUGUGCCUGUGUUAGUGCCCCCGGGUGCUGUCUUAGUGAUCCAUGUCUCUGAGGAGGUUGCUCCAGGAAGGGCAAAUGGUUGGUGAAGGCUGUGGUUUCAGGGAGCUGAUUUUUUGGCCUGAAAAGGGGACUUGCGAUGUCUGUGGUACAUCGUCUGACAGCGGGAUGGCUUGUGGAUCAUCUCUCUUUCAUCAAUCACUGUGGCUAUGAGAUCUGUGACUCCUUUGCACACCAUGGUGGUGUCACUCACAAUACUUCUGUCACAUCUACUGAAGACUGUCACAGUAUUUCUGCUUUUGCUGCCACCCCCUCAUCAAGCGACGGUCCUUCUUACGGUCCUGGAAAUGCCCUAGAAACAGAAGGUAAACGAGCAAAAAAGAGAUAUGUGUUUCGGGAGGAGUUCUUUGAUAUUUCUGAGCCCCAUAUAGCUGCAGCUCCUGAGGAGCAGCUGUGUCAGGGAUGCCCUGAGGUGAGUCUGACAGAAAUAAAGACCAACAGCAACAAAGAGGAAUACCAAGAAGGAGCAAAGAGUGACAUUGGGGAUUCUCUUGCCACUGCUAGGAAGAAACGUAAAAGGAAAUGUGUAUUCAACCAAGGUGAACUGGAUGCUUUGGAAUACCAUUCAAAGGUCAGGAAGCUCAUUUGGGAAGGGACUUUGCAUUUAGUCCAAGAGGGACUCAAAAGUGGUUUUCUUCACCGUAAGACUGCAAAACUCAGUUGCAGGAAGAAUAAUGUUCCUCAGCACAUUGUCUGUGGCUUGGCUGAAUUAUGUGAAAUGGCAAAGCAUUUUCCAGCUGUGAAUGAAAGUGACCAUCAAGCUGUAUGUGUGCUAGAGGAGGAAACCUCCAGUGCAGAGCAGGACCUGCUUUCAUGUGUUACGGAAAACAACUCAAACUCUGCAAAGAUAAUUGUGUUAAUGGGGCAGAAAUACUUGGUGCCACCAAAAAGCAGUUUCCUCUUAUCUGAUAUUUCAUGUUUACAGCCCCUGCUGAACUACAAGAAAAAAUAUGAUAUUAUUGUGAUUGAUCCACCAUGGGAGAACAAGUCUGUUAAAAGGAGUAACAGGUACAGCCACUUGUCUUCAUGGCAAAUCAAGCAGAUUCCUGUACCAGCACUAGCUGCUCCAAAUUGUCUUGUAGUCACGUGGGUGACUAAUAGACAGAAGCACUUACGUUUUGUUAAGGAUGAACUUUAUCCUCACUGGUCGGUGAAAACACUUGCUGAGUGGCACUGGGUAAAAAUUACUACAGCUGGAGAAUUUGUGUUGCCUUUGGAUUCUUUGCACAAAAAGCCCUAUGAAGUUCUCAUAUUGGGGAGAGUUCAAGGAGAGGUAAAGGAAGCCUUAAGGAAAUCUGAAGGUGUUCUUCCAAUUCCAGAGCAUCAGUUAAUUGUCAGCAUACCCUGCAGUCUGCAUUCACAUAAACCUCCUCUUUCUGCAGUUCUGGCAGAGUUUAUCAAGCCAGAUGUGGAAUGCUUGGAGUUGUUUGCUCGCAACCUACAGCCUGGCUGGACCAGCUGGGGAAAUGAGGUCUUGAAGUUUCAGCAUAUUGAUUAUUUCACUCUUCUGCAGAAUGAAAACUGAGCAGGGUCUCAUCUAUACAUCUGUACCUUCUGAAAUUCCACAUCUUCCCAGGGGACUCUUGAACUUAGCUUUAUUACUGAUGGUGCACCUAAAGAACAGCACAAGAAAUGACAGUGUUGUCUGUUCCACAUCCGCUGCUAUGAACAACUCCAGAUUAUCUUUUUAAUUCCAACUAAAAGAAAGAUGAACAAUCUUAGAGAUCAAGAAAGCACCUUUCUCCUUUGAGCUAAGCAGCAGAACCCUUCUAAGGGAAUAACCUUCUUUAGGCUUGUUAAGAAUUGAUGACCUCAUUAAUUUCUCUUUUCUGUGGAGUCCCUUUGCAAAUAGUGGCUUUCUAGAAUCUUAGAAUAAUUAAGAUUGGAAAAGACCUCUAAGAUCAAGUCCAGCUGUUAACCUAGUAUCACUGUGUUCACCACUGAACUGAAGCAGCUGAGCAGCUACUUCCAGCACCUGGGAAUCCAGCCUCCUAAGUAUGGCUUGUAUGUAGAGGACUUGUGCAGACAGAGUCUAAGCUUCUCAUGCUAAGUCAAAAGUUGAAGAUUGGAACUUGUGUCAUACCUGAUCCUUUCCUAAAUAGUUACAAAACUGUGCCUUGGACACCUAGUUUGCUGCUUUUCCACUGCUCUGGCUGUGAAGAAUAUGACAGAAGUGGUGUUCCACAUCUGCAGCCAACCUGGAACCAUUGCAUUUUCUGGAGAGGAGAAAGCCUGUUGCUAACUUGGAAAUCUCAUGGUGGUAUUAGCAGUUGAUAGUUUGAAUUUAUAGGGUCAUCUUUUGAACAUAAUUAUUUGCCUGUUGUGCUGAAUUCGUUAUUUACAUAGCCCCUUACACUUUUCCAGCUCUCCAAGACCUCAGCUGUUCCUAACCAGCCAUCAGAUCGUUCAGUGUCUGUCAAAAGAUUCUUCUGAGGCAGAAUCUGCAGCAUACUGAAAGAUCAGUGGUGAGUGAAACCAGCUAAUAUAACAAGGCAAUUUAAGAUCUGGUUUCCUUUUAUGUUGUAUAUGUCAAUUGCUCAGAGGGAAAAAUGCUCUCUGUUGUGUCAAGCCUUGUAUAAAAAAGCAGACUUGCUCUGAAGAGUUUACAAAGUUGGUAAGAAAUGAAAGAAAAAGGGAGAAGAUAAGGAUGAAGGAAUACAAGAUGGCAAUGAGAUGUUAAAGGUGUAUUUAGUAAGUAUGAGCCUAGGUAUUAUGCACAUCUUCAGUGUUCCUAAGGAAUUGUAAGGUUGUUUCCCCUGUUUUAAAUGGGGUUUUCUUAUUUUGUAUUCUUGUAUCACACAUUCAAAUAAAAAAAUUGGUGGAGUGUGUUUUUUACUUACAACAUUAACAAAAUAAAAGGGUUUUUUAAGCUAUAAAUUCUUCUUGUGGCAACUUGGAGAAGUGACAACUCUGAUUACUCAAGAAUUUUCAGAAAGUAUGUUUGGUACAUCUGUUGUUGUUUUAGCAGGACAAUGGUAAAAGUUUCUUUGGCUAGGUGUUCUCUACUAUUUAAAGCCUUUUAAAAUUAUGUCUUAUUGCAAAAACACUCAGUUACAUUACAAAAAGAAGUAAUUUUAAGCUUUUUCUAUAUGAAGAGUACAUCAAGUAUCAUAAUCAAACUUUUAUGAAUCUUCAGGUUUGAGUGUGAUUUUGAAAUGUCAAAUUAGCAUAUGACCUUUACUUGUAUUUUUAAACUUCUGUGAAGUAAAAAGAAUUAUACCAGUAAGAUAUAUUUUUGGAAUAAUGAUUGCUAGACAUGUACUCCUGUGGAAACAGCAAAACUUCUUUUGCAAGAUUAAACAUUAUUAAAGAAGUGAGGUACAUGAGGAGGUCGUACCUCUUCAUAGCAUUCAGCUUGGGUAGGUAUCA